AUACGAAGGGGGCUAGCGUUGUUCGGAAUUACUGGGCGUAAAGGGCGUGUAGGCGGGACAUCAAGUUAGGCGUGAAAGCCCCGGGCUCAACCCGGGAACUGCGCUUGAUACUGGUGACCUAGAGUCCGGGAGAGGGUGGUGGAAUUCCCAGUGUAGAGGUGAAAUUCGUAGAUAUUGGGAAGAACACCGGUGGCGAAGGCGGCCACCUGGACCGGUACUGACGCUGAGGCGCGAAAGCGUGGGGAGCAAACAGAAUUAGAUACCCUAGUAGUCC
rnacentral:rRNA from 1 species